CAUGCCGUUCUAAGUUGAUGGAGCGAUUUGUCUGGUUAAUUCCGUUAACGAAUGAGACCUCAGCCUGCUAAGUAGCUAUGUGGAGGUAACCCACCACAACUAGCUUCUUAGAGGGACUAUGGUCGCUUAGGCCCCGAAAGUUUGAGGCAAUAAUAGGUAUGUGA
rfam:Lupinus angustifolius cultivar Tanjil chromosome LG20, whole genome shotgun sequence.